rnacentral:lncRNA from 1 species
UUGGGUUCAAGUAAGAUCCUUAUUUCUCCCUUCUUCUUAUUUUAUUAUAUUUUAAAGAUUAUUUUUUGAAGAUUUUUUAUAAUCAGUUUCUUAUCUUAGUAAUUGAAUGAAUAGAGUUUAAUUUAUUAUUACAUAAAAUAUUGUUCCAUUGAAUUUUGGUUUAUACAUUGACUCUUUGCUUGGGUUAAUUUUUGGCUCGGCAAUUUUUGGACUUAGUUUUCUUCAGCAGCUAAUGUAAACAUAUUAAGUGUUUAUAUCAU